rnacentral:lncRNA from 1 species
AUAAAUUAUUUGUUAUUACUAUAUAUCGAUCCUUUAAUAAUAGGCAACUACUAAUAUUAAUACCAUAUUAUACUAUAGAGCCAAUGUUGUCUUGCUGGUGUAGGUACACACAAAAAUUAUUAAAAUACAUUCAACAAAAUUAACAAAGAACCAUUCUUGGUGCAUCCAAUAAAACCAAAAGAAUGAAACAAAAUAUUUGUUUUAAGGAUUGGUUGGAAGAAUGGUAACCAAACAUGAUUAAAUUUGUAAAAAUGGCGAGUACAAAAUAGCAUCAAAAUAUUUACUCUCUCAGUUUCAAGUCAACAAACAAUUGAAUAAGGGAAAAGUUUAUUUGAACAUAGUUUUCGAAAUAUAGUUUGUUUCAGGGUAAAAGGUAGUCUUGGACCCAAGCUAAUCCUGCAAGGAAAAAUAUUUGGAAAGCUAGGACCAGGAGUAAGAAGAACAACCUAGUUAAAGAACGCAACAUCUGUGCAUCGUUUUUGCGCUGUUGUAGAUAAACCAUGAUGAUCGCCAACAUUCGUCACCGAUAGGCACAUCAAGGAGAGGGGCCCAAGCAAUAAGUAUAAGACAAAAAACCUUUGGUCUAACACGUUAAAUUAUACGAAAUUUUAAAAAUAAUGAUGCAAUGUGAAAUAUUGAAGAUUUUCAAGCCUUUUUAUUGGUACAUCUCCCGAAUAUAGUAUUGCUUGUUCAAAAAUUAAUGUGAAUUUCUGAACUAAGUUCGUUUACUAUUACAAUUUAUGCUCUUUGAUUUAAGUAUAUAUCAAGAAAAACCAAGAUGACAAUAUACAAAACGAUAUAUAGAACUAUGGUGACAUACGGAGCUGAAAACUGGAUCUUAACCUUCCGAUGACCAACCUUUUUUUGUUACACGGAUGAACAACGGGGGUCAAAAAUGACCCCUAGUCAAAAAUAACAAUUGACAAAAAGAUUAAGUUAUUUUAAGAAAUGAAAUAAUGUAUUCGUGAUUUUAAUGUUAGUAUUGUAUCAAUAAAUGAUAAAUAAACAUUAGUAAAA